UACGAAGGGGGCUAGCGUUGCUCGGAAUCACUGGGCGUAAAGGGCGCGUAGGCGGGCUCUUAAGUCAGGGGUGAAAGCCCAAGGCUCAACCCGGGAACUGCGUCCGAUACUGACAGGCUUGAAUCCGGGAGAGGGAUGUGGAAUUCCAGGUGUAGCGGUGAAAUGCGUAGAUAUCUGGAGGAACACCGGUGGCGAAGGCGGCAUCCUGGACCGGUAUUGACGCUGAUGCGCGAAAGCCAGGGGAGCAAACGGG
rnacentral:rRNA from 1 species